UUUGCAACUGAUAGAAAAUGCACCUCAAAAUGGCUUAAAACAAAAAAAGGGAACUUUUUGGUUCAUGUAAUCAAAAAGUCCAACAGUAAAUUUAAGACAUGGCUGAACUUGGGGGCCCAAACAAUGGGACUAUAAUUUGGUCUCUUUCCAUCACAUGGCUCACAUGGAUCAGUAUUCACACUUCACACGUGCCGGGAUGGCUGCCAACAAUCCGAGGCCUAAAUCAUCCCAGUGGAAUUGAACUGAGAGUCUCUCUGUUGUGCCUCAUUGGCUCUGACUGGGUCAUUGGCCCUGACUGGGUCAUUGGCCAGCCCUGAACAAAUCCCUGUGGUCAGGGGGUUGAGAUGCUCUGAUUGCUACAGCUGAGAUGAAGACCCGCUGCCCCCUCUCCCCCCGCCCCUGCCCCAGGGCCAAGGGUGUAAUCAAUUCUGUCUAAAACACAGGGACCGAGAUCCGGGAUGGAGAGAUCUCACAAAGGAAAAACUUGUUGCCAAAGAAGGUGGAAUGGACCUUUGGCCACAAAAGAUGUGUAUGUCCACUUCCAUGCACUGGGAUGCUGAGGAUCUCCCUGAGAUACUAGAACCCUACCUAUUGUGUGGACACUUAGGCCUGGAUGACUGAAUUGCCCUCGGAGCAGUGGAGCCUGCAGGCCUGUGCUCUGAGGACAAAGACACAGUGGUUGGAGAUGCCCCAGAUUAAAGCAAGCACAUGGAUGACUGGCCACCUCAGUUUAGGACCAUCGCAGAAGGCCAAGGUUAACACCACCUUCCCAUCCAUCCCAGAGAAGCAAGAAGCAUUCUUGCCGUCAAGAGGUGGUGGUGCUGAGAAAGAAAUCCAACUAACUGGCAGGAGAGUAAAGCCCAGCCAGCCCUCGGUCAUUCCAGGCACCGUCUUGGACGUUGCAGACCCAGCAGAGCCCCCAGCUGAGUUCGUGAGUGACCCAGCAAGCAUCCUGUGGGAGAACUGCACAGCGCAUCUGCCCAUCCCUUGGAAUGCAGCUCUGUUUUCCGUGCUACUCAGCCCGCCGGCAGCUUGCUUCCUGGUCUCAGCUGAACGAGGGUGCCGUCCUUACUGACCGGCGAUUUUCCCUGCCUCGUCUGGUGAGCCCUAGGGAGUCUCGGGUUCCGAGGAGUUCUCUCCUUACAACCAGCAGCGUCUUCACUAAGGC